AUUGAACGCUGGCGGCAUGCUUUACACAUGCAAGUCGAACGGUAGAGGGGGCAACCCCUUGAGAGUGGCGAACGGGUGAGUAAUGCAUCGGAACGUGCCCAGUCGUGGGGGAUAACGCAGCGAAAGCUGUGCUAAUACCGCAUACGAUCUCUGGAUGAAAGCGGGGGACCGAACGGCCUCGCGCGAUUGGAGCGGCCGGUGUCAGAUUAGGUAGUUGGUGGGGUAAAGGCUAACAAAGCAAACGAUCUGUAGCUGGUCUGAGAGGACGAACAGCCACACUGGGACUGAGAAACGUCCAAGACUCCUACGGGAGGCAGCAGUGGGGAAUUUUGGACAAUGGGCGCAAGCCUGAUCCAGCAAUGCCGCGUGCAGGAAGAAGGCCUUCGGGUUGUAAACUGCUUUUGUACGGAACGAAAAGGUCUGGGUUAAUACCCUGGGCACAUGACGGUACCGUAAGAAUAAGCACCGGCUAACUACGUGCCAGCAGCCGCCGUAA
rnacentral:rRNA from 1 species